rnacentral:rRNA from 2 species
AUAAGCGGAGGAAAAGAAACCAACAGGGAUUGCCUCAGUAGCGGCGAGUGAAGCGGCAAUAGCUCAAAUUUGAAAUCUGGCACCUUCGGUGUCCGAGUUGUAAUUUGAAGAAGGUAUCUUUGGUUUUGGCUCUUGUCUAUGUUCCUUGGAACAGGACGUCAUAGAGGGUGAGAAUCCCGUCUGAUGAGAUGCCCAAUUCCGUGUAAAGUUCCUUCGACGAGUCGAGUUGUUUGGGAAUGCAGCUCUAAGUGGGUGGUAAAUUCCAUCUAAAGCUAAAUAUUGGCGAGAGACCGAUAGCGAACAAGUACUGUGAAGGAAAGAUGAAAAGAACUUUGAAAAGAGAGUGAAAAAGUACGUGAAAUUGUUGAAAGGGAAGGGCUUGAGGUCAGACUUGGUUUACCAGGCCAGCAUCAGUUUGGGCGGCAGGAUAAUGGCGAAGGAAUGUGGCUUGGCUUCGGUUAAGUGUUAUAGACUUCGUUGAUACUGCCUGCUUAGACUGAGGACUGCGUCUUUGACAAGGAUGCUGGCAUAAUGGCCUUAAGCCGCCCGUCU